AGAGUUUGAUCAUGGCUCAGGACGAACGCUGGCGGCGCGCCUAACACAUGCAAGUCGAGCGAGAACCAGGGCUUGCCCUGGGGACAGCGGCGAACGGGUGCGUAACACGUGAGCAACCUGCCCCAAAGACCGGGACAACCCGAGGAAACUCGGACUAAUACCGGAUGCCCUCACCGGGUCGCAUGGUCUGGUGAGGAAAUGGAUUCCGCUUUGGGAUGGGCUCGCGGUCUAUCAGCUUGUUGGUGGGGUAACGGCCUACCAAGGCGACGACGGAUAGCUGGUCUGAGAGGACGAUCAGCCACACUGGGACUGAGACACGGCCCAGACUCCUACGGGAGGCAGCAGUGGGGAAUCUUGCGCAAUGGGGGAAACCCUGACGCAGCGACGCCGCGUGCGGGAUGAAGGCCUUCGGGUUGUAAACCGCUUUCAGCAGGGACGAAAUUGACGGUACCUGCAGAAGAAGGCCCGGCCAACUACGUGCCAGCAGCCGCGGUAAUUC
rnacentral:rRNA from 1 species